CAGCCGCCGCGGGAAUACGUAGGGUGCGAGCGUUAAUCGGAAUUACUGGGCGUAAAGCGUGCGCAGGCGGUUUUGUAAGACAGGCGUGAAAUCCCCGGGCUCAACCUGGGAAUGGCGCUUGUGACUGCAAAGCUAGAGUGCGGCAGAGGGGGAUGGAAUUCCGCGUGUAGCAGUGAAAUGCGUAGAUAUGCGGAGGAACACCGAUGGCGAAGGCAAUCCCCUGGGCCUGCACUGACGCUCAUGCACGAAAGCGUGGGGAGCAAACAGGAUUAGAUACCCCUGUAGUCCCUGUCUCUUAUAC
rnacentral:rRNA from 1 species